GGCGAACGGGUGAGUAAUAUAUCGGAACGUACCCAGAAGUGGGGGAUAACGUAGCGAAAGUUACGCUAAUACCGCAUACGAUCUACGGAUGAAAGUGGGGGACCUUCGGGCCUCAUGCUUUUGGAGCGGCCGAUAUCUGAUUAGCUAGUUGGCAGGGUAAAGCCUACCAAGGCAACGAUCAGUAGCUGGUCUGAGAGGACGACCAGCCACACUGGAACUGAGACACGGUCCAGACUCCUACGGGAGGCAGCAGUGGGGAAUUUUGGACAAUGGGCGCAAGCUGAUCCAGCAAUGCCGCGUGAGUGAAGAAGGCCUUCGGGUUGUAAAGCUCUUUUGUCAGGGAAGAAACGGCUGCGGCUAAUAUCUGCGGCUAAUGACGGUACCUGAAGAAUAAGCACCGGCUAACUACGUGCCAGCAGCCGCGGUAAUACGUAGGGUGCAAGCGUUAAUCGGAAUUACUGGGCGUAAAGCGUCCGCAGCCGGUUUUGUAAGUCUGUCGUGAAACCCCGGGCUCAACCUGGGAAUUGCGAUGGAGACUGCAAGGCUUGAAUCUGGCAGAGGGGGGUAGAAUUCCACGUGUAGCAGUAAAUCGUAGAGAUGUGG
rnacentral:rRNA from 1 species